GAUGAACGCUGGCGGCGUGCCUAAUACAUGCAAGUCGAGCGAACAGAUGAGGAGCUUGCUCCUCUGACGUUAGCGGCGGACGGGUGAGUAACACGUGGAUAACCUACCUAUAAGACUGGGAUAACUUCGGGAAACCGGAGCUAAUACCGGAUAAUAUAUUGAACCGCAUGGUUCAAUAGUGAAAGACGGUUUUGCUGUCACUUAUAGAUGGAUCCGCGCCGCAUUAGCUAGUUGGUAAGGUAACGGCUUACCAAGGCAACGAUGCGUAGCCGACCUGAGAGGGUGAUCGGCCACACUGGAACUGAGACACGGUCCAGACUCCUACGGGAGGCAGCAGUAGGGAAUCUUCCGCAGUAGGCGAAAGCCUGACGGAGCAACGCCGCGUGAGUGAUGAAGGUCUUCGGAUCGUAAAACUCUGUUAUUAGGGAAGAACAAAUGUGUAAGUAACUAUGCACGUCUUGACGGUACCUAAUCAGAAAGCCACGGCUAACUACGUG
rnacentral:rRNA from 1 species